GAUGAACGCUAGCGGCAGGCCUAACACAUGCAAGUCGAGGGGUAGAAGGAGCUUGCUCCUUUGAGACCGGCGCACGGGUGCGUAACGCGUAUGCAAUCUACCUUGUACAGGGGAAUAGCCCAGAGAAAUUUGGAUUAAUGCCCCAUAGUAUAUAAACUUCGCAUGUUGGUUAUAUUAAAGUUUCAACGGUACAAGAUGAGCAUGCGUCCCAUUAGUUAGUUGGUAAGGUAACGGCUUACCAAGACGAUGAUGGGUAGGGGUCCUGAGAGGGAGAUCCCCCACACUGGUACUGAGACACGGACCAGACUCCUACGGGAGGCAGCAGUGAGGAAUAUUGGUCAAUGGUCGCAAGACUGAACCAGCCAUGCCGCGUGCAGGAAGACGGUCCUAUGGAUUGUAAACUGCUUUUAGACACGAAGAAACCCUCCCACGUGUGGGAGCUUGACGGUACUGUAGGAAUAAGGAUCGGCUAACUCCGUG
rnacentral:rRNA from 1 species